GGCCUGACAUACUAAGAACUUUCCAGAGAUGGAUUGGUGCCUUCGGGAACUUAGAUACAGGUGCUGCAUGGCUGUCGUCAGCUCGUGUCGUGAGAUGUUGGGUUAAGUCCCGNAACGAGCGCAACCCUUUUCCUAUUUGCCAGCGGGUCAUGCCGGGAACUUUAAGGAUACUGCCAGUGACAAACUGGAGGAAGGCGGGGACGACGUCAAGUCAUCAUGGCCCUUACGGCCAGGGCUACACACGUGCUACAAUGGUCGGUACAAAGGGUUGCUACCUCGCGAGAGGAUGCUAAUCUCAAAAAAGCCGAUCGUAGUCCGGAUCGCAGUCUGCAACUCGACUGCGUGAAGUCGGAAUCGCUAGUAAUCGCGGAUCAGAAUGCCGCGGUGAAUACGUUCCCGGGCCUUGUACACACCGCCCGUCACACCAUGGGAGUUUGUUGCACCAGAAGUAGGUAGUCUAACCGCAAGGAGGACGCUUACCACGGUGUGGCCGAUGACUGGGGUGAAGUCGUAACAAGGUAAGCGUAGAUGA
rnacentral:rRNA from 1 species